UGUCCGUUAAUAUAGGAAUAAAGAUUGUUAUCAAAUAGAUAGGUUCCUAAAAUCAAGGAUACGAUAUAUCGAACAUAGCUGCAUGCCAACAUUUGCCAACUUGAAGACAUGUUUCCAUUCUGACUAGUCAUGUAACGACCGAGAAUUUUUCCCGACAAGAAGAUGGGCGAGGCAAUCGGGAAAACCAAGAGAUAAGAAAGCACGCACAACAAUAAGAAGAGAGCAGAAGGUAACGCUGCGCGUGAAGAGAGAGGAGUAACGCCGCACGUGAUGAGAGAGGAGUAAUGAAACGCGUGAAGAGAGAGAAGGGGUAACACCGCGCAUGAAGAGAGCAAAGGGGUAACGCCGUACGUAACGAGAGAAAAGGAGUAACGCCGCGCAUGAAGAGAGAGAAGGGUAACGCCGCGGAUGAAAAGGGAGAGAAAGAGGCAGCACCAUGAUAGUAUAAGAAGAAGAAAUUUUCACGAACGGCAGUGAGAGGAGCAAAAUGGGCUAGCACCGUGCAUGUAGCGCCGUGAGUGUAGCGCCGUGCGUGUCACUGCCGUGCAUGAACGAGGUUACCACCUGCUAGAUGCAUGCUGCCACACACGCCACUUGUCUUUGUGCAUAUGUGGCAUUUGCCACUUAUCCACCUUGGGACUGCCGCCCCAACCAGCUGGGUACUUAAGCUCUCUCUCCCUCCCACACCAUUCAUUCUCACUCCCUCUCUAGAGCACACUUAGUGCCUUUCACCUUAGGCUCACCAUUACCCCACUCUUAGAAGUUGGAAUAAGGGGGCUGUAGAAGGGGUUUCAGUUGGAAGAAGCACAAUUGAACCAGGUAAGUGGAUUAAAUCAUCCUUGUACCCAUAGUUUUGGGGCAUGAGAAUAGGGGUAGUUUAAGUGUGAAUGUUGAGAUAAGAAGUGAUUACAUGUUAGUAGAAUCAUGCAUUGUUUUUACUGAUUGAAGCCUUAUUGCCUGAUGCAUUUUAGUGAUGUAAAUGACUUUGUUAUUUGUGAAUUUUUGUAGAAAAAUGCCCCUGUAGAUCUAUAGUAAGAAGGAAGGAACUUCAUAUUGUUAUUAUUUGUGAAUGGAAACGUUUUUGAGUAUUUGAUGAGGCAUGUCUUGUAUACACUAAGAAAUUCCAGGAAGUUUCCAUGCUUUUGUAAUGAACAUUUGAGCAGUCAAAUGAGGUCCAAAUGACCUCAAAUCACUGCCAUAAAAAGAUAUGUGAGUCUAUUAUAAUGUUCAUGUUCAAUAUUUGUUCAAUUUCCCGAUAAAUGGGAAGUUAUGCCCCAAUAUGAGCAAGCAUGCCACUGUUAAUAGAUUUCUCUGAGUUUCAGAACUGUCCCUGUUGCUGCCAUGAGUUUUAACUAACCAAAUGAAAUCCAAUUUCUCUCAAACCACUUCCAUUUGAAAGAUCUUUGCAUUGGCUGAAAGUUGCAUGCUGAAAGUAUUUCGAAAUUCCGCCUAGAUUGAAAGUUAUGCAUGAAAUUAUGAGAAUAUGUCAAUGUUGGCAGAAUUUACUAGAUUUCCAGAACUGUAUAUGUCUAGUGUGAUAGUGUGAUACUGAACAGGUGAUAUUGAAUAUGUGAUAGUGUGAUACUGAACAUGUGAUACAGUGAUACAAAAUAUGUGAUAGCGUGAGACUGAACAUGUGAUACUGUGAUACUGAAUAUGUGAUAGUGUGAUACUAUACAUGUGAUACUGUGAUAGUGUGAAACUAAACAUGUGAUAUUGUGAUACUAAAUAUGUCAUAGUGUGAUACUGAACAUGUGAUACUGUGAUACGGAACAUGUGAUAGUGUGAGACUGAACAUGUGAUACUGUGAUACUAAAUAUGUGAUAGUGUGAGACUGAACAUGUGAUACUGAAUAUGUGAUAGUGCGAUACUGAUACUGUGAUAUUGAUACUGAUACUGAAAUUGUGAUACCGUAAUACUGUUACUGAUACGAUGAUACUGAUACUAAUACUGAAACUAUGAUACUGAUACUGUGAUACUGAUACUGAUACGGAUAUUGAUAUUGAUACUGUGAUAUUGAUAUUGUGAUACUGAUACUGAUAAAUGUGAUAUGAAGCACUAUGCAAUGGGUCAUCCAUUGAUAGUGUGAUGUGACACAAUGAGAUGUGAUGUGGGAGCAUGGACUUGCACCACGAUGAGAUGUGAUGUGGAAGAAUGGACUUGCACCACGACGAGAAGUGAUGUGGGAACAUGGACUUGCACCAUGAUGGAAUCUUUCCCUAACUCUUGAAGAUAGGAAGAGAGCUAGGAUGUGAUGUGAACUUGGGUGGAUCGUGCCCACCAAGAUGUAUGGGCAUUAUCCAUUGGGACCCCUUUGGUAGUGUAGCGCCCUCUAGGGGAUGGAAAGAGAGGGCAGUGUCUUGCAAAGCCAAGAGCCUAUCAAUAGCCCCAAAGCAUGCUGGGGAUUGUGUGUGUGUGAGGACAAUACGAAGUGGGUCACUCACUUGUCAUUGUCUUCGCUCCUGAGUGAUGAUAGAGGUCCUAAGCAAUGGGAUUGGCUUGGCCUGAUGAAUAGGACUUCUAUUUCGGGAGUAGGUGGACUAAGGAGCGCGUUAGCUAGUAAAUGUGGUGUUUGGCUAAGCAUACGACUCUGUUCAGAUUAGUACUGUUGAGUAAAUAAAUGAUCCCCUUCUGUAUCGUAUCUGAUGGCAUAACAUGUUAUUGUUGCAUUGUGAAUCAUCUGUGAUAGAUGUAGUUUUAACAUAUGACUCAUGUUUAUUGAGGAUUUUCUUAUAAUAUCUCGCAAUUGUUAUAAAAUGAUAUUCUUAGGUAGGGAAGCAAGGUGUUAUGAUCCACUUACUAGGCUUUGUAGCCCAUUUCGUUUACUUCCUUCUUUGUAGAUUGACAACUGCAGGUCGAGGACAAGCGAGUGGCAAUCGAGGUUAACUACGUGAAGAUCCGCUCAACGAGGAAGCUUUCUUAGGCUGUAGGUGUCUGUUGGCUAUAGCCAUUCAAUGAUUUUAUUGUAUAUGUCAUGUAUGUUUGUGAGGCCGUGAUGCCUCGGACCAAUUGUAAUAUUUUUGGGUUCUGUAUAUGUGUAACUUGAUAGUUUUUAUUUAUCCGACUUUUUCUAUGGCCCUAGUGAGAGUUGAUGUUGUACCUUGUGGUUUGCUCUAAUUUUCCUCUUUUAAAAUGUGUUGAGCUCACUCCCACCUGAGUUGCGUUCGUGACGUCCGGUCGUGAUCUCGCACUCUGUCGCCCUCCGGCGUGGUAUGGUAGGGGUCAGGGGGCGAAGUCGUGACAGUUAUGGUAUCAGGGCAGCCAGGAUAGAAUUCUUAGCCUAGAAAGUCUUAGAAGUGUCCUUAGAGUGGUUCUUGGAUAGAUUAGUAACUGGGGUGUUCAUGUUUUAGGUCAAGAUGCCGAGGACUUGUGCCAACAAUGUGAGUUCCAAUAAUGACAACACUGAAGCCGUUGGGGAAUUCUUAGGACACUGGGGGCUAUGACCCAAAUUAUGAAAGACUGCAUGCCAACCUCGGCUGCCUCCACCCCAGAUCAAAGUGACAAUGGACUAAUUGAAAAGUUUAAGAGACUUGCCCCUCCCGCAUUUUCGGGACAUGGAGGAGUGGAAAAAGCUGAAAGAUGAAGGAGGCAAGUAGAGAAGAUAUUUGAAGUGUUGCAUUGCUCCGAUGAGCAGAAAGUGAGAUUAGGGACCUUCAUGCUAGAAGGGGAUGUCGAGCAUUGGUGGAGCUCGGUGAAACAAUCCUGGGAUGAGACAGGAACUGAGGCAACCUGGGGAAAUUUUCUACUAGCCUUUUUUGAGAAGUACUUUCCUUAAUCAGUCUGAGAAAGAAAGGAGGUAGAAUUUAUUGAGUUGUAGCAACAGAAGAUGUCAGUAGAGUAACAUGCAGCUAAACUUGCAGAACUUUCUCGCUACGCGCCACACAUCAUCAAUAUGGAGGAAUGUAAGGCGAGUCAAUUUGAAAGGGGUCUUAGGCCGGAUAUCCGUGGGAGAAUAAUAACAGCCAAUCUUCAAACUUUCUCCCCAUUAGUAGAUUUAGCCCUGAAGAUUGAAAAGGAUUGUGAGGAUUUCCGGCUGAGAAAGGGAGGAAGAAUCGACCACCUCCUGGGGAAGACCUUAGAAGGGAGAUUAAUCCAGAUAAUAUGAAAAGACGAAAGAUUUUCCCAAGGGAUGUGAGGGAGAACCAUCGGCCGACCUGCUCAUAUUGCGGACUGAGCAACCAUUCUGCCGCUGAGUGCCGAAGAAGGCCAGGAGCGUGCUUUGGAUGUGGCAAGCUUGGCCACUUAAUUAAGGACUACCCUGCAAAGACGCCCGGAGAGAGACCCGAGAAUCAAGGUCAGGUGUUUGCCCUCAUGGAACAGGAGGCAAAGCAUCUACCUCCACGGCCCGAGGUGAGCUCUUUGGUAAUGAUGAGAGAAAAAUUUGAACCUUCUUGUUUGACUCUGAUUGCCUUCCUAUAUUGUAUUUGUUAUGCCCCCCUAAGUAUUGAACCUGCACCUCCUAAUUAUACCUUAAUACGUGCACAUCUUUUUGGGGAAAUACUUGGGUAUUUUAGCUCAAAGUUUAAGUAUUGUGGGAACGACUAAGAGGUAGAGAGCCUUGCCCAUAACGUUUGUUUUCUUCUAGAAGGUUGGAUUGUAUGCUUUGCAUUGUAUGCUUUAUAUGUCUUAAUAGCGUUGCAAAAAGUAAUGUACCGUUUUUAAAACCCCCAGUAGAUUUAAUUGGUGAAUAUGUGAUUUUGGGAAUAAAAUCCUUUUUAAAAAGGGAUGAUGUAACAACCGACAAUUUUUCCCGACAAGAUGAUGGGCGAGCCAAUGGGGAAAACCAAGAGAAAGGAAAGCACGCACGGCAGUAAGAAGAGAGAGCAGAAGGUAACGCCACGCAUGAAGAAAAAGGAGCAACGCCGCGCGUGAAGAGAGAGAAAGAGCAGCGCCGCGCGUGAAGAAAGAGAAAGGAUAACACCGUGUGUGAAGAGAGAGAAGGGGUAACACCGUGUGAGAAGAGAGAGGAGUAACACCACGUGUGGAGAGAAGGGGUAACGCCGCGCAUGAAAAGGGAGAGAAAGAGGCAACACCAUGAGUGUAUAAGAAGAAGAAGAAGAAAUUUUCACGACGGCAGUGAGAUGGAGCAAAAUGGGCUAGCACCGUGCGUGUAGCGCCGUGUGUGUCACUGCCGCGCAUGAACGAGGUUGCCACCUGCUAGAUGCAUGCUGCCACACACGCCACUUGUCUUUGUGCAUGUGUGGCGCUUGCCACUUGUCCACCUUGGGACAGCCGCCCCAGCCACCAGGGUACUUAAGCUCUCUCUCCCUCCCACGCCAUUCAUUCCCACUCUCUCUAGAGCACACUUAGUGCCUUUCACCUUAGGCUCACCAUUACCCCACUCUUAGAAGUUGAAAUAAGGGGGCUGUAAGAAGGGGUUUGAGUUGGAAGAAGCACAAUUGAACCAAGUAAGUGGAUUAAAUCAUCCUUGUACCCAUAGUUUAGAAGCAUGAGAUUAAGGGUAGUUUUAAGUGUGAAUGUUGAGGUAAGAAGUGAUUACAUGUUACUAGAAUCAUGCACUGUUUUUACAGAUUGAAGCCUUAUUGCCUAAUGCAUUUUAGUGUUGUAAAUGACUCUGUUAUUUGUGAAAUUUGGUAGAAAAAUGCCCCUGUACAUCUAUAGUAAGAAGGAAGGAACUUCAUGUUGACAUCUUUUGUGAAUGGAAAAGUUUUGGAGAAUUUGAUGAGGCAUGUCUUGUACACACUAUGAAAUCCCAAGAAGUUUUCAAGCUUUCGUAAUGAACAUUUGAGCAGUCAAAUAAGGUCCAAAUGACCUCAAAUCACUGCCAUUAAAAAGAUAUGUGAGUCUAUUAUAACGUUCAUGUACAAUAUUUGUUCAAUUUCCCGAUAAAUGGAAAGUUAUGCCCUAAUAUGAGCAAGCAUGCCACUGUUAAUAGAUUUCUCUGAGUUUCGGAACUGUCCCUGAUGUUGCCAUGAGUUUUGACUAACCAAAUGAAAUCCAAUUUCUCUCAAACCACUUCCAUUUGAAAGAUCUCUGAGUUGGCUUAAAGUUGCAUGUUGAAAGUAUUUCAAAAUACCGCCUAGAUUGAAAGUUAUGCAUGAAAUUAUGAGAAUAUGUCAAUGUUGGCAGAAUUUACUAGAUUUCCAGAACUGUCAUUUCCGUUGUCAUGAGCUUUUGAAUAACCAAAUGGAGUUUAAAUGCUUUCAAAUGACCUUUGUUGGAAAGAUACGUGUCUUUACUCGAACUUUGGCUUUGAAACCAUCUUAGUGGAUUGAAAGUUAUAACUUUUCAAAGAGGGACAUGUCAUUGUUAUAAUUGCGUAGCAGAUUUCAGAUAGCAUGUUUUCAUUGUAUUAAGCUUUUGAAGGGUCAAACGAGGUCCA
rnacentral:lncRNA from 1 species